CUUGCCCAUUCCUCCUUACUAAUGUUCAAGAUGGCAGCUAGUGGCCGGCGUCCUCUAUGGCAACUCUUGGGUUUUAACUUUGCCAGAAUUAUUUUGCCUAUAGACUGCCAUGAGAAAUUUUCCCAAAAUUACUGGCAUGCAUGCAGAUUCAACCGUCAGGUGAAGUUCGACAUUUGUCUUGUUUUGGAGCAGCCAGCUGGUGAUGUGAUUAAUGGAGCCAUUCAUAUACUCCUCGUCAGAUCCAACUUUUUGCUCCCAUUGCGGAGAUAAUGGUGCCCACUCAGGAGAUUUUGAUGACCACAACAUAAGCUCCAAUUUACGAUGAUCAAAGGAAAGGUUGAUUUCAGGCCUCCGCCGCUGUUUCAUGGUUUGGACCCAUUGGUGGAAGCUGACAAGAGAUAUAGCUGAAAUUUCAGCAAUGCAGGUGUUGCAGCUGCUUGGUCUGAAAGGAGCUGUUGUGUUUGUUGCUGUCAGAAGAUUAAUAGUAGCUUGCAUUACAUUUUUCUCAUUGAGUUUGAAAUUUUGGUCUGUUAUAAGUUGAAAAUCUAUGUUUAUAUGGUAUGAAGAGAUUGUCUAUUCUGCUAACAGAUCAAGGGGAUUCAACAUUAUCGAGCGACAGAUAAAAUUGUAUAGUAGUUAUUGUUCAUAUUUGAAUUCUGCUUUGGAAAGUCAUUAUUUAUGACAAUGCUAUUUUUAAAUAAUGUAAUAAACAAACUAAAUUGAUACGUGAA